UAUUAUAAGAUCAUGGGCUAAAGAAUCAAUGGGGCUAGUGCCAUCUCUGAUUCAUAGCCCGAACUCUUAUUCUCUUGAUUUUGCUUUCUUUCCUAAGCGCGGGUAUGCUGUUGCAGGGUGAAUGCCCAUUGCCGAUGCUUUUGUGGUAAGGGGAAAUGGCUUGAGUGCGUGGUCAAUAAAGAAAACCUUCCAUACUACGGUUACGGUAUGGAUAGCUAACUUGAGUGACAAAAGACAACGAAUACUUGCUUGCGAGUUGACAGGUGAGGAAUACAGCCAACCAAUAGACCUAUUUAUGUUUACUAAAAGCAAUAGACGAGUUCCAUAUAGACUAGACCUACUAAUGGAGCAAGUAAGACUGACUGUUUCUAGUUGCGCUUAUUCAAUUGACUCGUUCUUGUAC
rnacentral:lncRNA from 1 species